ensembl:misc_RNA Metazoa_SRP Metazoan signal recognition particle RNA
GCUGGGCAUGGUGGCGUGUGCCUAUAGUCCCAGCUACUCAGGAGGCUGAGGCAGGAGGAUUGCUUGAGCCCAGGAGUUCUGGGCUGAAGUGCGCUAUGCUGUUCGGGUGUCUGCACUAAGUUCACCAUCAAUAUGGUGACCUCCCAGUAGCAGGGAACCACCAGGUUGCCUAAGGAGGGAGCAGGUCAGAAAUGGAGCAGGUCAAAACUCCUGUGCUGAUCAGUAGUGGGAUCACAUCUGAAUAGCCACUGCACUCCAGCCUGGGCAACAUAGCAAGACCCCAUCUCUU